UACGAAGGGGGGCUAGCGUUGCUCGGAAUCACUGGGCGUAAAGGGCGCGUAGGUGGUUCUGUAUGUCUACCGUGAAAGCGUACGGCUCAACCGUAUUUUGUCGGUAGAAACUGCAGGACUUGAGGCUGGGAGGGGCUGGUGGAAUUCCCUGUGUAGCGGUGAAAUGCGUAGAGAUGGGGGAGAACACUCGUGGCGAAGGCGGCCAGCUAGACCAGUUCUGACACUGAGGCGCGACAGCGUGGGGAGCAAACAGG
rnacentral:rRNA from 1 species